AGUAGAAUUGCUAGGUCAAAUGAUAACUCUAUUACGUUUUGAGGAACUGCCAAACUUUUCAAAAGUGUCUACACCAUUUUACAUUCUUACAGCAAC
rnacentral:pre_miRNA from 1 species